rnacentral:tRNA from 1 species
UGGCUCAGUGGUUCAGAGCACUGGCUGCUCUUCCAGAGGUCCUGGGUUCAAUUCCCAG